rnacentral:lncRNA from 1 species
CUAUCCACCAGCACUCCCCUGCGCUUCCCAAGUGAUUUAAUUAUCCAUUCUUUAACUGCAACUCGGUUAGCCCUGAAAUUUGGGUGAAGAGAAAUCAGACACAGCUGUCUGACAGAAGGGAUUGGAAAAUAGAAGGAAUUUAAAGCAAAAGGGUGGAUGUAGCUAUCAGUGGCAAGAAAAAUGCAGGGCAACUAAAAUAUUCCAGCAUGCAAACUUGAUCUCUUCGAUUGACUACCCCACCCAAAAGCUGUGCAGAAAGCCCCCUAGCACGUACACUGAUUUGGACUGGAAACUGGAGCCGCCGUCGCUGUGAAGAGAUGUGAAGUGACCAGACUUCCAUGUGUGAUGAUUAAUUUUAUGUGUCUACUGGACUAGGUUAAGGGAUGCCCAGAUGGCUGGUAAAACAUUAUUUCUGGGUAUGUCCGUGAGGGUAUUUCCAGAAGAGAUUAGCAUUUGAAUCGGUAGAUUGAAUAAUGUUUGCGGCAUCAGCACUCCUGGUUUGGGGGACUUAGGAUUCAGACUGGGACCUAUGCCAUUGGUUUCCCUGGUUCUCAGGCCUCUGGGCUUCAUUGGACUGGAACUAUACUACCAGUUUUCCUGGGUCUUCAGCUUGCAGAUGGCAGAUUGUGGAACUUCUCAGUCUUCA